UACGAAGGGGGCUAGCGUUGCUCGGAAUCACUGGGCGUAAAGGGUGCGUAGGCGGCCAGGUAGGUCUGCUGUGAAAACUCGAGGCUCAACCUCGAGAUGUCGGCGGAAACCAUCUGGCUAGAGUCCGGAAGAGGAGAGUGGAAUUCCUGGUGUAGCGGUGAAAUGCGCAGAUAUCAGGAAGAACACCCGUGGCUAAGGCGGCUCUCUAGUACGGUACUGACGCUGAGACGCGAAAGCGUGGGGAGCGAACAGG
rnacentral:rRNA from 1 species